rnacentral:rRNA from 1 species
GAUGAACGCUGGCGGCGUGCCUAAUACAUGCAAGUCGAGCGAAAAGCCGAGGAGCUUGCGCCUCUGACGUUAGCGGCGGACGGGAAAGUAACAGGAAGAUAACCUACAUAUAAGACUGGGAGAACGUCGGGAAACCGAAGCUAAGGCAGGAUAACAUGUUGAAACGCAUGGUUUAACAGUAAAAGAUGGUCUUGGUGACACUUAUAGACGGUUCCGGGGCGCGUUGGCUAGAUGGCAAGGUAACGGCUUACCAAGGCAACGAUGCGGAGCCGACAUGAGAGGGUGAUCCGCCACACUGGAACUGAGACACGGUCCAGAGUCCUACGGGAGGCAGCAGUAGGGAAUCCGGCGCAAAGGGCGAAAGCCUGACGGAGCAACGCCGCGUGAGUGAAGAAGGUCUUCGGAUCGUAAAACUCUGUUAUUAGGGAAGAAAAAAUGUGCAAGUAACUAUGCACGUCUUGACGGUACCUAAUCAGAAAGCCACGGCUAACUACGUG